GACGAACGCUGGCGGCGUGCUUAACACAUGCAAGUCGAACGGAAAGGCCCUGCUUGCAGGGUACUCGAGUGGCGAACGGGUGAGUAACACGUGGGUGAUCUGCCCUGCACUUCGGGAUAAGCCUGGGAAACUGGGUCUAAUACCGGAUAGGAGCCAUUUUUAGUGUGAUGGUUGGAAAGUUUUUUCGGUGUAGGAUGAGCUCGCGGCCUAUCAGCUUGUUGGUGGGGUAAUGGCCUACCAAGGCGGCGACGGGUAGCCGGCCUGAGAGGGUGGACGGCCACAUUGGGACUGAGAUACGGCCCAGACUCCUACGGGAGGCAGCAGUGGGGAAUAUUGCACAAUGGGCGCAAGCCUGAUGCAGCGACGCCGCGUGGGGGAUGACGGCCUUCGGGUUGUAAACUCCUUUCGCUAGGGACGAAGCUUUUUGGGACGGUACCUAGAUAAGAAGCACCGGCUAACUACGUG
rnacentral:rRNA from 1 species